GAAAGUAUUUAAGGGCGCAUGGUGGAUGCCUUGGCUCACUCAGGCGAUGAAGGACGCGAUAAGCUGCGAUAAGCUCCGGGUAGGCGCAAAUGGCCAUUGAUCCGGAGGUUUCCGAAUGGGACAACCCGUCUGUCUGCAGGACAGUCACCCGGUGCGUUUAUGCUCCGGGAGCUAACGCGGGGAACUGAAACAUCUUAGUACCCGCAGGAGAAGAAAAUAACGAUGAUUCCCCCAGUAGCGGCGAGCGACCGGGGAUGAGCCCAAACCGUAGGGGUCUUUUUGGCCCUUUCGGGGUUGUAGGACCGCGCCGUUGUACCUUGAUUGUGAGGAGAAGGCCCUGGAAAGGGCGGCCUUAGCGGGUGAUAGCCCCUUAUCCGAAGCAUGACGGGACAUAGCGGUAUCCUGAGUAACGCGGGACACGAGUAAUCCUGCGCGAAUCCGCCGGGCCCAUCCGGCAAGGCUAAAUACUCGAGUGAGACCGAUAGCGUAUAAGUACCGUGAGGGAAAGGUGAAAAGCACUUCUAGCAGAAGAGUGAAAUAGUUCCUGAAACCAUGCGCCUACAAGCGGUCGGAGCACGUUAUUCGUGUGACGGCGUGCCUUUUGCAUAAUGAACCUACGAGUUUCCGUUUCCGGCGAGGUUAAGCCCCAUUGAGUGGCGUAUCCGCAGUGAAAGCGAGCCUUAAUAGGGCGUUUUAGUCGGUAGCGGCAGACGCGAAACCAAGUGAUCUACGCAUGUCCAGGGUGAAGUUCCGGUAACACGGAAUGGAGGCCCGCACCAAUAAGCGUUGAAAAGCUUCUGGAUGAGGUGUGCGUAGGAGUGAAAGGCCAAUCAAACUUGGAGAUAGCUCGUACUCCCCGAAAGGCAUUUAGGUGCCGCGUGCGCCGUUUCCCGCAAGAGGUAGAGCGACCGAUAGGUCGAGAGGGCUUCACCGCCUAUCGAGACCUGACGAACUCCGAAUGCUUGCGGGUCGGAGGCGUGCAGUAAGGGGGCGGGUGCUAAGGUCCGUCCCCGAGAGGAGAAGAAUCCAGACCGCCGUCUAAGGUCCCGGAAUUCUGCCUGAGUUAGUCUAACGAAGUGUGGUCCCGGUGACAGCCAGGAUGUUGGCUUGGAAGCAGCCAUUCAUUCAAAGAGUGCGUAACAGCUCACUGGUCGAGGGUCCGUGCGUGGAUAAUAAUCGGGUAUAAGGCAGAUACCGAAGGCGCGGGAUAGCAGUUUUUUUCUGCAUGUAUCGGUAGGGGAGCAUUCCAUGUGCGUCGAAUGCGGGGGGUGACCCCCUCUGGAGCGCAUGGAAAGGCAAAUGUAGGUAUAAGUAACGACAAGGAGGGUGAGAUCCCCUCCCGCCGCAAGUCCAAGGUUUCCCGGGCAAUGCCAGUCAUCCCGGGGUCAGUCGGGUCCUAAGUCCCAGCCUAAUGGCGUUGGGCGAUGGCAGAAACGGUCAACAUUCCGUUACUGCCGCACGGAGCGACGCGGUGACGCAGGAGUGACACGGCCGCGGAGUUACGGAAUACUCCGUUGAAGGGUGUAGCAGUCGAGGGGGUCAGGAAAGUCCGUCCCCCGAUGCGACCCUGACAGUACGCCCCUUUCCCCGGAAGGGGGCGAUAGCGCCGGUAACCAUACUGCCCAGAAAAACCGCUAAGCCCAUCCGUGCGGCACCCGUACCGCAAUCCGACACAGGUAGACGGGUAGAAUAUACUGAGGCGUUGAGAGACUCAUGGUCAAGGAACUAGGCAAACUGACCCCGUAACUUCGGGAUAAGGGGUCCUCGCCUUUUGGCGAGGCGCAGAGAAUAGGUCCAGGCAACUGUUUAACAAAAACACAGGGCUGUGCUAAUACGAAAGUAGCCGUAUACAGCCUGACACCUGCCCGGUGCCGGAAGGUUAAGAGGAGGCGUCACCAGCAAUGGGCCGCGCCGAUUUGAAGCCCCGGUAAACGGCGGCCGUAACUAUAACGGUCCUAAGGUAGCGAAAUUCCUUGUCGGGUAAGUUCCGACCUGCACGAAUGGUGUAAUGAUCCGGACGCUGUCUCGACCAUGAUCUCAGUGAAAUUGUAGUAUCGGUGAAGAUGCCGAUUACCCGCGAUGGGACGAAAAGACCCCGUGAACCUUUACUACAGCUUAGCAUUGACCUUGGCCAUCCGUUGUGUAGGAUAGGCCGGAGGCAUUGAUCCCGUCGCGCCAGCGUCGGUGUAGCCCCCCUUGAAAUACGGCCCUUCGGCUGUUCGAGGUCUAACGCGUUUUCUCGCGGACACUGCUUGGCGGGUAGUUUGACUGGGGUGGUCGCCUCCAAAAGCGUAACGGAGGCUUCCAAAGGUGCCCUCAGGCCGUUUGGUAACCGGCCUUUUCAGAGUGCAAUGGCAUAAGGGCGCUUGACUGGGAGGCAGACAUGCCGAGCAGGCAGGAAACUGGGGCAUAGUGAUCCGGUGCACGCGCAUGGAAGCUGCAUCGCUCAAAGGAUAAAAGGUACUCCGGGGAUAACAGGCUGAUCCCCCCCAAGAGCUCAUAUCGACGGGGUGGUUUGGCACCUCGAUGUCGGCUCGUCACAUCCUGGGGCUGGAGAAGGUCCCAAGGGUUGGGCUGUUCGCCCAUUAAAGUGGCACGCGAGCUGGGUUCAGAACGUCGUGAGACAGUUCGGUCUCUAUCUAUCGUGGGCGUUGGAGUUUUGCGUGGUUCGGUCACUAGUACGAGAGGACCGUGACGGACAGACCUCCGGUCUGCCGGUUGUGCCGCCAGGUGCACCGCCGGGUAUCCGCGUCUGGAUGGGAUAAGCGCUGAAGGCAUCUAAGCGCGAAGCCCGCCGCAAGAUGAGAACUCCUUUUUCAGGGCCGUCGCAGACGACGACGUUGAUAGGGCGCAGGUGUAAAGGCGGCGACGCCAAAGCCGAGCGCUACUAAUUGCCCGAAUCUUUCGUC
rnacentral:rRNA from 1 species